AAUUGUUUUGGCAGUCCUACAUUAAAAUUGGAAUGAUACAGAGAACAUUAGUUAGCAUGGCUUCUGCUCAAGGAUAACAAACAAAUUUGGGUUCUAUAUUUAA